rnacentral:tRNA from 1 species
GUCCCGCGGUAGCGUUACGCCGGAGUGCAAAUCCGGAGGAGCACCCCAAAAAGGUGCCGGGGCUUCUCCCGUUUUAAAAGAGACGGGAGAAGG